UAUAAUCCCAAAUGGUUGCUGGAUCUAGGGUCGGAGACGUGACUAUGCGCACUUGAUCUAAAUUGGCAUCAUAAAGACCACCAAAGAAUUGUGCUUUGACAACAAGCAACAACGCACCUAAACCUAAAAUGACCAGGUGAUGUCCUAAGAUAAAGCCCAGCUUGGGAGCAUCUUGCCA
rnacentral:antisense_RNA from 1 species